UACGGGGGGGCAAGCGUUGUUCGGAAUUACUGGGCGUAAAGGGCUCGUAGGCGGCCAACUAAGUCAGACGUGAAAUCCCUCGGCUUAACCGGGAACUGCGUCUGAUACUGGAUGGCUUGAGGUUGGGAGAGGGAUGCGGAAUUCCAGGUGUAGCGGUGAAAUGCGUAGAUAUCUGGAGGAACACCGGUGGCGAAGGCGGCAUCCUGGACCAAUUCUGACGCUGAGGAGCGAAAGCCAGGGGGAGCAAACGGG
rnacentral:rRNA from 1 species